CUAGUCAAGAGUUGAUGUUGCUCUCCUGAUGAGUCCAACACAGGACGAAACCCUAG
rnacentral:sRNA from 1 species